rnacentral:rRNA from 1 species
UACGUAGGGGGCAAGCGUUGUCCGGAUUUAUUGGGCGUAAAGAGCGUGUAGGCGGCCAAGCAGGUCAGCUGUGAAAACUCGAGGCUCAACCUCGAGACGUCGGUUGAAAACCGCUUGGCUAGAGUCCGGAAGAGGAGAGUGGAAUUCCCGGUGUAGCGGUGAAAUGCGCAGAUAUCGGGAAGAACACCCGUGGCGAAGGCGGCUCUCUGGGACGGUACUGACGCUGAGACGCGAAAGCGUGGGGAGCGAACAGG